rnacentral:tRNA from 1 species
CGGGCUAAAUUCUUUUAAUUUGGAAUCUUCAUUUACGCUGGGGGGUUUGUCGUGUGAUUCGGCAUGGUCUGA